GUCGAGAGUCGAGAGUGGGGGAUAAUUAUCCAGAUAAUAAUUUAUCAUUAAAAUAACUAUUCUUUGUUCAGCCUGUGGUCAAAAGGAAAAAUAUCAAACAUUUAUGUUUAAUCUUGAGCGAAAAACGAUCGAGAAAUAAGAAGUAUGGAGGAAUCCGAAUAUUGUGAAAAAGUGCGGUUUAGGGUUGUACUCCAUCGUCCAGGUAAUUCGAGUGUUGAACAAGGGGCGAAAAUUAGCGAAAUCUCGGAGCAGGAUCAGAGCUUUGUUUACAUCGAGUCAUCGAGUAAUUUGUCUUCUCUUGCGGCGAAAUUUCUGCAACCGUUAUACGAGCAGGGUAGAGUCGAGGACAAGGAUAUACUCAAGGCCAGUAAUGUCAAAGGUGGGGGUAUUUCAUGUACUGUUUUUGAACAAAAUUAUAAUUUUAUAGUUGUUUGGGAUGUGUUGUAUAUUUUUGAAUAAAUAAUGAUGGUAUUGGAUUACAUCCCUUCGAUAUGGGGCUUCGGUGGCCAAAUGGGGCUUCGGUGGCCAAGUGGUUAGCGCACUUGCCUUUCACCUCUAAGGUCGCAGGUUCGAAUCUCAGUGAGAACUUCUCAAUGAACUCGCAGGUUCGAAUCUCAGUGAGAACUUCUCAAUGUGACUCGAACCCAGUCCUCAUGUGAAAAGAGUAAAAGUCAACGCUCUGCCGAAAGUCGUGGGUUUUCUCCGGGCACUCCGUGUUUCCUCCCACAGGGAAAGUUGAC
rnacentral:lncRNA from 1 species